rnacentral:pre_miRNA from 1 species
GUUGGGGGGGAUGAAGCCUGGUCCGAGAAUCAUUUAGGGUUUCCACUAACAUAUUAGAAUCACCUCGAUGAUCUCGAGCCAGACAACAUUCCUCUCAAC